rnacentral:lncRNA from 1 species
AACUGGAGCUCAGGUCGACAGAGAAAUGGCUGUGGAGAAGACACACAAAAGCUACAAAGUGUCCAUGUCCUUUGGCCUAAGCAAUAAAAAGGUGGGAAGAGCUGGUGAUCAGUGUUCACACAGGCGACCCUACUGUAUCGAAGACCGGUAUCCACAUUUAUCUCUGUCUUUCCUCAGAUUCCUGAGUGAUCAAAUGAUGACAAUUUCUGCUCUUCUGUACCAAGUUGAGGUCUAAUGCAUUAGAUCUACAUCGGGGAAAUGUACCUUCAGGGAGCUUAGAGCCUGUGCUAUUUUCCUUUCUAUAAUAAAAAAUCUA